CAGUCUACUGCUAGCUUUACAUGUAGCAUCUAUGCUAGACCCAUUCAGUCAUUUGUAAACAAAGCGGCUGCGCGCAUUCCUUUCUCUGCAUAGCGGAGUAUUGUCAAGCUAUGCUAGCGGGUUAUCUGCAAAAGAUCGCGAAGCCUACUUUAAAUAAUAAAAACAACUUUAACUAGAUGGGUGACGGGGGAUAUGUGGGCCUGAUGGAUACAGCUUCAUCACAGCUAAACAACAAAAGAAAUCUGAAGCUUCUAUUUCGUUGCUGACAGAUGAUGACACACGAGAACUGCAGCUUCAUCUGACGACAGCGAAGAGGAGCGUCCUGAUUUACCUGAGCCCUUGACCGCUUUAUUUAGCACAUCAUCCAGGGACCUCACACCUCAGGAACUACAGGUGACGUGUGAGGAAACGUUUCACAGGCUAAAAAAACUAAACCACAGCCCUGUCAGUGUGAAAAACUGGAAGCUGUAACCCCGACAGCAGUCACAGUCAAGAGCACAUCCAUAGGGCUGGUGGGAUCACAAGCAUCUGAUGGAUAUAAUGCAGCACGACCAAAAAGCGUUAAAUGUUCCAUCUGUGCUGUGGGGAUCAAAACAUGGAGCAAACUGCACAGAUGUUAUGGCCAAAAGUCACAAACGUUUCUGUGUGACUUCCUGUGGCCUUCUGAGCCACACCUUGCCUCAUCAGCAGACGGCACAGGAAGCUGUAGCUGCUGUGGGAAGAAAGUGUCCGCACGAAUACCUYCAAAACUUUGAUGGAUGGACACAAAACACUCGUUUCUGUUUGGACAAAUCUUUCACUUUAAAGCAGUCACACAUACGGCCAUCAGACACAACUCCACAUGUUUGUGUGUAAUGUUAGCUACUGUGACUUUGUGCUGUGGUCAACAGCACAAGUAGCCUUUCUUGUGUUAAUUUUGUACAGUACGUACAGUUUUUACUAUUAAAUACUAUACUACUAAAUUA